rnacentral:lncRNA from 1 species
CACUCGAGUAGAUCUCUAUAAAAGUCAUCAUGCUACCUUUGUUUAUCCUAGUAAGUGUUGGUUUGGAAGUACUGGACAUACUUCCAUUGGCAUUUAAAUUAAGCGUGGUGCUUAGGUUAAAUAGCCUUCCUUAAUCUGAUUAGACAUGGAGUCUAGUUUGGUUACUGAACUAAAAAAACUGCUUGAGUAGGCAUUGGUAUAUUUUGUCGGACUAACCCCUGCAGAAAAACAUUCAAUAUCAAUUUGGGAAGUCCUGAGAUACAAAAUCACAUUGGAGAUAAAGGAGACACAUGAAGUUCAAAGAUUUGCACAAGGAAGGACAUAGCUCAUUCAUCAUAGAGAGAUGAUCCAUGGAAGGAGACAAAGUACAUAAACAAGAUACACACCCAUUACAAAUGGGAAGCUUCCACAAGGUGAGAUGGU